GUAAGUGGCAAGCGUUGUCCGGAAUUAUUGGGCGUAAAGCGCGCGCAGGCGGUUCUUUAAGUCUGAUGUGAAAGCCCACGGCUCAACCGUGGAGGGUCAUUGGAAACUGGAGAACUUGAGUACAGAAGAGGAAAGCGGAAUUCCACGUGUAGCGGUGAAAUGCGUAGAGAUGUGGAGGAACACCAGUGGCGAAGGCGGCUUUCUGGUCUGUAACUGACGCUGAGGCGCGAAAGCGUGGGGGAGCAAACAGGAUUAGAUACCCUGGUAGUCCACGCCGUAAACGAUGAGUGCUAAGUGUUAGGGGGUUUCCGCCCCUUAGUGCUGCAGCUAACGCAUUAAGCACUCCGCCUGGGAGUACGGCCGCAAGGCUG
rnacentral:rRNA from 1 species